GUCAUCUUCUUAUAGAAUUUUGCUCCAAAAGCAGGAUUUAUACCAUUUCUAAAUGCAAUUAAUGCUGAAACACAGCUAGCAUACAUAGCAAUAACUUAGGCAAAAAGGCAACACUCAAGCAAAAUCCUUCCUGGAAUUAAAAUCCUGUUAUUAGGUCAACCAACUUUUCUUUUAACUAACUAAAUAAACAACAGCAAGACAUGGUAAGCUUUGACUCAGAGAAAAAGAUUCUGGAUUGACUCUCGGAAGCUUCCUGUUUCAAUUCCAGCUCUGUAAGACUUUGGGUGAUCUUUCUAAAUUUACUUCCUUCCUCUUAAUCUUAGUAUUAUCAUGCAUUUAAAGAAGAGCAUUGGACUUGAUGACACUUACGAAUAAGUUUCUGGACAUCUGUGUCCAGUGUCAUAUGAACAAAUGAAAUUAAUACAUUCAGAUUUCACUUAUCAUUUUUACUCAUUUCUUACCAAUAGUCCCUCUUUUUUCAGUAAUCCUUACCUCAGUUUAAAAUGCCAACAAUUGCCCUGUUUCCAUAGCCAGAAAUCUGCUAGUCAUCUUCUUCUUUUCUAUUUUUGGUAAUACAGUGCUUCCUUAAGUGGUUCUAUAUAGUUUCACUACAUUUUUUUUUUUUUUUUUUUUUUUUUGCAGAAACCUAGACCUAUAAGUUUAGUACCUGAAUCUCUUGCUGAUUCAUGCAUUUCUAUUAAUCUUCUCAGUCAGAUGUUUAGCUCAGAUCUGUCCUCUUAUCCAAGCUUUUCCAAGAGUCUCCUAGCUACACUUCUGGCAUCAUGUUACACCCUACAAUCCAGCUCUUCACAGUCUCCUGACUUCUUUUUAAAAGUUGCAUACUAUAUAUACAUCUCUCUCUUGCUUAACAUUCCUCAGUUAUUCCCUAGUGGACACAGAAUAAAGUCUAGCUUCUUAGCAUGUUACUUGGGCUCCUUCAGUGCCAGUCCCCACAAAUUCCUCACUCAUCUUGCAGAAGCUCCCAGUUUUCAAUAUUCUCCUAAAUGCUGUGGAACCUCUGUCUAUGCAGGAUUCUAAAGAUGAGGAAAAUUAGUCCCUUAAGACUCAGCUUAAGCAUUGCCCCUUGUGCCUUUACUGUUAGUUUGCCCCUCUGUUCUUAAGAGUUUAUUCCUGGCAUUGCUCUUAAGGGAAGGAAGUUUGGCAGGGCCAAGAGUCCUAAACGUUAGACCUUUCUCUCUAAACACUAACAACAUUAAAACUCCAUUCAAGAAGGAGCAAAAGAAGCCAUCAUCUAGAAACAAUGUUGAUAACCACAGUUCCUGAACUUGGGCUUGUUAAAAGACUUUAUCUCCAUGAGUAUACUGAAACACAUAUUUAGUUUAUCUCCUAUUAUCAAGAAAGAAAUAUUAAAACUUCACUGUUGAGGAUCACUCUGAAUAUGAAAGUGCUCAAGACAAUCAAUCAGGUCUCGAGAUCUAGAAAUUAGUAUAAGUACUGAGUGCUAGGGGAAAAAAAUUAUACUCUUCAAACUACAUCCCUGGGAGUGUUAGUGAUGUCAUAAUUCACUGAGGAUCUAGAAACUACAGGAUGGAUACUUAUAAAAGAUAAGGGAAGUAUAGUGCAUAGGUUGCUGAGAGGUGGAGAGAAAGUUGCUUACUUUUCCUGAGCCUCAACUUUCUGAAAACAUAGAAACACAAUUAGAUGAUGAGUUAUGAGGUGAAGGAGGGGAUGACUCAGCAGCAAUGUGCCAGCUCCAUAGUGACUUCUCCACCAAGCUGGAGAAGGAUUUGCAGCAAUGGUUCCAGAACCAACUGUGUGUAUCUACAGGAUGAAGAUCAUUUAGACUAUGAUCAUUUAGACUGUAUCACUUUUGGCCAAGAGCUGGGGACACAGUGGUGAAUAAGACACAGGCCUAUCCUCAUGAAGCUUAUAUUAAUGGGGGACAAAGGAUAAUAAUCACAUAAGCAAACAAAUAAAUACAUGAGAUGAUGCUACA
rnacentral:lncRNA from 10 species